rnacentral:rRNA from 1 species
GACGAACGCUGGCGGCGUGCCUAAUACAUGCAAGUCGAGCGAAGUUUUUCUGGUACUUUCACCGGAGAAACUUAGCGACGAACGCGUGAGUAACACGUAAAGAACCUGCCUCAUAGAUUGGGACAACUAUUGGAAACGAUAGCUAAUACCGGAUAAUAGCAUUAACUGUAUGGCUGGUGUUUAAAAGUUGGUUUUUCUAACACUAUGAGAUGGCUUUGCGGUGCAUUCGCUAGGUGGGGGGGAAAAGGCCUACCGAGGCGACGAUGCAUAGCCGACCGGAGAGGGGGGUCGGCCACACUGCGACUGAGACACGGCCCAGACCCCUACGGGAGGCAGCAGUAGGGAAUCUUCCGCAAUGGGCGAAAGCCUGACGGAGCAACGCCGCGUGAGUGAAGAAGGAUUUCGGUUCGUAAAGCUCUGUUGUUAGGGAAGAAUGAUUGUGUAGUAACUAUACACCGUAGAGACGGUACCUAAACAGAAAGCAACGGCUAACUACGUG